rnacentral:lncRNA from 1 species
AUGAACGAUCCCCAAGGUGUGUCCGGUUCUGCAACCCUGGGACCACCUGUUUUCUGGUCACUUUUGCAGGAAGCUGCCAGGGGCCCCCUGCCUGGCCGUUUGGAACCUGGCUGCCACCAUUCCCCCGGGGAGAGCGAGCCACUGAGCCACGGGGACGCCCAGAGAGGGUCUGGGCGCGGAGACCCGGGAGCCGAGGGCAGGCCAGGAGGAGAAGCCGAAACGUCCACGUGUAGGAGAAAACACGCGGCCCCAGCUUCAGUUCUGAUGGGCUUUCCAGGGUCCCGUCCGCCAUCGCCCCAGCUGCAGGCUUCCCCUGCACACGUCACGGCGCCCUCUGUCUCAGGCCUUGCCGCUCCUCUCUCCUCCAGCCUCACACCCCAUACUGCACCAGGGUGGCAUGUGGACGCUCAGGUCAGCGGGGUUUCCCGGGUCCUCCAGCCCAGCUCUGGCCGACCCCACGUCGCCUCUGCACUGACCCCGGUGCUUCCUAGCCCCCUGCACCUCUCCCCACCCCAUCCCAGGCCCAGAGACCCCCCUUGUUACAAAGCUCUCCCUGGGAACGACGGGGAUCCGCGUGCCACUGAUGUCCCUACGGUCCGAGCUCUGACCUCUGGACCGCAGAGGGAGGUCCAGUUCAAUGCCUUCCUCCAAGACAGACCUCUGGUCCUCACCCAGCUCGGGGCUGGCUUCUCACGGCGCCCGGCCCGGCCUGCGGUGUCAACAGGUGUGGCUGCUCGUACCCCGAGCUCUGUGCCACAGCUCGUAGGCUGGGCCUCCUCCAGCUUCACAGGACGGGAGACAGCUGCUCCCUGGGACCCACUGUGGGGCGGCACCCAUCCCACGUCUCCCCUCCUGGGCACCGGGCCACACUCCGGCGGCGGCCUGCCCUCCUGUUCUCAUCCCUCUGCCUCCUCGCCCUCGGCCUGUGAGCCUGUCUGCACUGUGCUGCCUCCUGCUCUCUGCCAGCAUCUGCCCCCCACCGUUCCCCUCCUGGAGGAUGCCAACCUCCCACCUCACGGUGUCAGCUUCCUCCUGUGCCCCCUGUCCACCGCCACACCCUUCCUCGUCAGCCUUAGAUGUUGUUCCAGGGCGAAUAACAUCCACCCCAAACCCGUGUCCGCCUGGAAUGUCAGCAUGUCACCGUAG